AGCACUACAACGGGUGGAGCCUGCGGUUUAAUUGGACUCAACGCCGGAAAACUCACCGGGGCGACAGCAAUAUGUAGGUCAAGCUAAAGACUUUACCAGAAUCGCUGAGAGGAGGUGCAUGGCCGUCGUCAGUUCGUACUGUGAAGCAUCCUGUUAAGUCAGGCAACGAGCGAGACCCGUGCCCACUGUUGCCAGCAUGUCCUUCGGGAUGAUGGGUACUCUGUGGGACCGCCGAUGCUAAAUCGGAGGAAGGUGCGGGCUACGGUAGGUCAGUAUGCCCCGAAUCUCCCGGGCUACACGCGGGCUACAAUGACUGGGACAAUGGGCUCCUACCCCGAAAGGGGAUGGUAAUCUCAUAAACCCAGCCUUAGUUCGGAUCGAGGGCUGUAACCCGCCCUCGUGAAGCUGGAAUCCGUAGUAAUCGCGUUUCAACAUAGCGCGGUGAAUACGUCCCUGCUCCUU
rnacentral:rRNA from 1 species